AGGGCCCGGCUGAGGUUGGAGAUCCUGAAUCUGAAACACGAGUUUCUGUGCUGUGUGGUUUGCUCUAGUGGGGCUCAGCUGCCCGUGGGGGGAGGGAACAGAAGGUUGGGAGUUGCUGGUUCUGGUUGAGUUUGGCUGGGUGGGCAUGGGCACACUGGCCUAGCUCUCGUGGCUUCUAGGAAUUAUGACCUCUGCACAAGCUGUCCCCUUGGUGUGGGGACUUUGUUCUGUCUUCUUUCUCUCCUGCAGGCUGACAGAGUGAUGCAGAGACAGCUCAGAGGACCUCUCCCUGUGGAAACUCUUCCCCUUCAUGGAAGCUUCUCAGCACGAUAUACUGAGAUUAUAGCACAGAGCUUAUGUCUUGUCUUCUGACAUGGGGAGGGAUGGUGACUUCUUCAUCUCCAACCAGCCCAGUGACCUUGAUCGUCCCCUUUUGAGCACCCCGCUGUCCUAGUCUGGGAUGCCUGUGGAACACCAUUACAACACUGAAACCACCCAAGUGCUGGAACCAGAUACUAUUUCCCUCCAUUUAACUGAAAACUGAGGUGCAGAGUGUGAAUCUGUCCAGAUCACACAGCUGCUAAGAAGGAGAGCCAGGAUUUGGAAGCAGAUAGUCCUGUGGAUUAGGCAUGACUGUGUGAGGCACUUCUGCAGGGAAGAAACCAAGUGUCUAUAAGCCGCUUGCGCGAGGAGGACAGCUCCAGCGCUGCCCUGUCUUGUCCCCGGUGUGUCCACGAAUUGCUCUACCAAGGCCCUGAGGAAUGCAGGCAAAAUGGUCUGUAAGUCCCGGUAUUAACGCAGGUGUCUGGGAGAAGGGGGAUCACAAAGAAUCUGCUCCCCGCUGGCAGGGACCACAAGGCAAAUGUAGCGACCUCUACCCCCCAGCCUCUCUGCAUGUUUAAUGAGCCCCUGCCUGAAGGUGUGGAGCACGCUACUCUUGCGCAUUGCUUCCGUCUCUCCUCCAAGAAUCCAUUCUUCCGUUCUGUUCCCCACCCAUCCCUCACCUGCAACACCACCUUCCCUCUGCAGCUGCCCUGCCCCAGACCUCUGUGUGCUCUUUUGAAAGAGAAUCACCCCCAAAGUGCUCCCAGGUUCUCCCAGCCCUGCUCUACCCAGUCUUGCCUUCGUUCUCUGCUGUACCCCGCUUCCUCGGUAAGCACUGGGCCAGCUGCCGCGUCAUCUCCUGUCUCCCCCAGUACUCCCGUGUCCCCCAAGCCACCCUCCCCCACAGAGCCUUCUCUCCUCCAGCCUCAUAACCUUCCUCUUUAGUGGCCCCUAACUGCUCAUGGCAGUGCAGAUUUUCCACCUCUGGAAGUCUGAUGAGGGGCCAGAACACAUGUGGCUGAUCCUUCCUCACAGCCUGGAAAUGUUCCCGCUGCUUGCAGGGACCCAGCAGGAGGACAGGUGUGCUGUGUGGUCAUAGAAGGAGAGUGCAGCCUGGACUCUGAGCCUGGAACAUCAAAUCCUGUGCCCUGACUUCCAGGGCCCUGCCCAGUUCUGAGAGUGUGUGUGUGUGGGGACUUACUUUCAAAGGGACUUACUUUCCCCUACUGAAUGCUUUUUUUUUUUUUUAACUUUUAAAAAAAAAUUUUAUUUAUUUAUUUAUG